rnacentral:rRNA from 1 species
GUAGGGAAUAUUGGACAAUGGGGGCAACCCUGAUCCAGCGACGCCGCGUGAGUGAUGAAGGCCUUCGGGUCGUAAAGCUCUGUUGCAGGGGAAGAACACAAUGACGGUACCCUGCUAGAAAGGAUCGGCUAACUUCGUGCCAGCAGCCGCGGUAAGACGAGGGAUCCUAGCGUUGUUCGGAAUUAUUGGGCGUAAAGCGGGUGCAGGUGGCUUGGUAAGUCAGAUGUGAAAGCCUGGGGCUUAACCCCAGAAGUGCAUUUGAUACUGCUGAGCUUGAGUGCUGGAGAGGCUAGUAGAAUUCCUGGUGUAGUGGUGAACUACGUAGAUAUCAGGAGGAAUACCGGAGGCGAAGGCGGAUAGCUGGCCAGACACUGACACUCAGACCCGAAAGCGUGGGGAUCAAACAGGAUUAGAUACCCCUGUAGUCC